rnacentral:lncRNA from 1 species
UCUAAAUGACACAGUCUCCUGGACUUGCCAGCUGAUGACAGGAUCUGCAGAUACGUCUCAGGCUCUGCUCCAAUUCUGAGCAACUCUGGGCCACACUGAGUGAGAAAGAGAAUGAUACCACCUACACUGUAUCGCUUUGUUUCAAAGACCAAUAGAGUUAUAAUAUAUCAAAGUAUUUGUAAAGUACAAAUUACCAUACAAAUGCCAAGGACUGCUGUAAUAAACCUAAGCAAACUUUUCCCUGAUAAUGAAAUCUGGAUAGUUUUAGAAAAUAUAUGUUGUUUGUCAAGACUUGUGCAAUAGGCCAUGUGUGGUGGCUCACGCCUGUAAUCCCAGCACUUUCAGAGACUCAGGCAGGAGGAUUUCUUGAGCUCAGGAGUUCAACACUAGCCUGGGAACAUACUGAGACCUCAUCUCCACAAGAAAUCAAAAAAUUAGCUGGGUGUGGUAGUGCACAACUGUAGUUCCAGCUAUAUGGGAGGCUGAGGUGGAAGGAUUACUUGAGCCCAGAAGAUUGAAGCUGCAGUGAGCCUUGACCAUGCCACUGUACUCCAUCCUGGGCAAAAGAGCGAGACCCUGUCUUGAAAAAAAAAAAAGAAAAAAGAAAAAAAGACACGUGCAAUGAUGGCUCUGAUGCUUUGGUUACGUGGCAUUUUGUUCUUCUGCUUCUAAUUAUGCUUCUAAUUGCACCAGGUGUGGGAUUCAGUUUCUGUCUCCUCGAGUCUAUAAAUCUGACUUUAAAUAGGUGGAAACCAAAACCUACAGAUGUUACUUUAGCAAAUGCUGUGUCAUCACUGUUUACUUUGAAAGAGUGGUUCCCAACCUAGGGUAGGCAUCAGACUUACCUUGGAAGCAUUUUAAAAAGUGAGAUUUCUAGGCUCUAGCCCUAGGGAUUCCGAUUCAGUGUAUCUGGAGUAGGAUGCAGAAAAGCUCUAUUUUUUUCCAAAAGCUUUCUAGGUAAUCUCAACAAGCAAUCAGUUCAGUUUUGGAGACAUAUUACUUUGCCCUCAAUUUCUUCUCUAUUUUAGUAGCUGCUAGUUUGUUUGUUUGUUUUCAGUAUAAAAAUUUCCCCUUGCAUUAAUCAGAAGUACACUUAGAAAAGAUGGCCCAUGAUUUUGGCAUAGAUCCACAGAGAGCUAGUCAUUACACUUCUUUACAAUAAAAUUUAAAAAUGGUAAAUUAACCUCAGAGCUAAGACAAUGCAUGUAGACGCCGAAGGGUGGCUGGUUCUGUGAUUACAGGCCAACUGUUUUCUGCUUUACUUGUAGUCAAGUCACUGAUAAACAUGAAGACCAUAUUACAGCUGUCACUACCGAAUAAAAGAUGGCAGAACUCCUCCAAAU